rnacentral:siRNA from 1 species
UUGAUAAGAAAUGUAUUUAGUUGC